rnacentral:tRNA from 1 species
GGUUCAGUGGUCUAGCGGUUAUGAUUUCUGUCUCACAAGUGCUCCUGCUCGAGUGGUCCACAGAAGGUCCCCGGUUCGAUCCCGGGCUGAACCA